rnacentral:rRNA from 1 species
ACACUCCUGCGGGAGGCAGCAGUGGGGAAUUUUGGACAAUGGGCGAAAGCCUGAUCCAGCAAUGCCGCGUGUGUGAAGAAGGCCUUCGGGUUGUAAAGCACUUUUGUCCGGAAAGAAAUCCUUGGCUCUAAUACAGUCGGGGGAUGACGGUACCGGAAGAAUAAGCACCGGCUAACUACGUGCCAGCAGCCGCGGUAAUACGUAGGGUGCGAGCGUUAAUCGGAAUUACUGGGCGUAAAGCGUGCGCAGGCGGUUUGCUAAGACCGAUGUGAAAUCCCCGGGCUCAACCUGGGAACUGCAUUGGUGACUGGCAGGCUAGAGUAUGGCAGAGGGGGGUAGAAUUCCACGUGUAGCAGUGAAAUGCGUAGAGAUGUGGAGGAAUACCGAUGGCGAAGGCAGCCCCCUGGGCCAAUACUGACGCUCAUGCACGAAAGCGUGGGGAGCAAACAGGAUUAGAUACCCUGGUAGUCCCAUGA